GGCCCUGCUGGGCGAGGCCUGCGCGCUCGCGGCCCUGGUCGGGUCCAGCCUGAAGUUCGAGGGCCGGCUGAUCGUCCAGGCCCAGGGCGAC
rnacentral:tRNA from 1 species